CCCCCACUCCCAGAGAGAGUGAUAGAAGCUGGCUUGAAAUUUGAUAUCUUGUGCUGCUGGCACCAUAGCCAAGAGAAGAAGGCGGCGGGAGGGGAGGGGGUUGCACAGCUGCGGGCAGACCUCGGCUGGAGUUUUAACCUCUUUGGUGCUGGGACAGUGGAUGCUGUAAACACCAAUCCUCUCCAGCUGAGAGUUUAGAGGGGACAGAAGAUGGGCAGAUGAGAAGAAGACUUGAGUGAGUGAAGAAAUACCAGCAAAUGAGAAGCGCCCUAGAUGGAGGACAUGAUUUGGAGUGGCCUUUUGGCUGGACUUUUGUCUUACAUGGCCACAGGAUAGAACCAAAUCUUCCUGUAAUGUAGAGACUGCACCUUGGGGGAGGCGGUUGGCUGGAAGCCAAGAGUGACAAAGCUUGUGAGAAGUAGAGGGAACAGAGACUGAUGGGGAGGGUGUGGUGGAGCCCUCUGCCUUCAGCAGAGAAGGAUCUCUGUUCAUGAGGCCCCUCGGCCCCGGGGGGUGAAAUAUAGGACAGGUGUCCCAAAUGAGCCUGAAAUUUGAAGGAAGCCAUGGGAUUUAAUGAACAGCAUGAAUAAAUAGCAAAUAGGAAACUCAGAAAAACAUGUACGCAGUAUGGGCUGACGAAGAAGAUACCAAAUAUGCAAAUCAUCAUAGCAGAAGAAAACAUGAUGGGCUUUCUUUAUCGGAAAUUUUAUACAGUGAUGAAUAGUAAAUAACCAGAACCUGAUUUUAUCCAAAGCUUGUCAGGAAAGCAGUAUCUUAUUUCCAACUUUUAUCUGGUGGCACUUAUGAAAAUAGAAAUUUUAAGUUUAUGGCUCAGCAAACCUGGAGGGUUCAAAGCAAUCUCACUGAUCCUUUCUACUUAUUUGUACUGCAGAGAAAUCAAGGCUGACCACUGAUCCAUACUGAUCUGCAAUCCAUGCUCAGUGGUUAUUUGUAAAGAGAAGAUAAACUAGCUUCAAGUUCUGUUGCUGUACUUGAAUGAGAAACCAUCCCAGUGUGAGGAGAGCUGAAGAGGAUGGUUAUACUUAUGCAUGUUCUGAAACUUGUGUAGUAUGGACUGCCCAGAAAAGGAUCCAAAGACACCAUAAUCUCUGAGAUGCAAAACAGAGUCUGACCCUCAGUUUGGAACCCUCUCCAAGCACAGCGCUCUCUCAAUGGCAACAUUUCAACAGUUUUAAAUGGGAAGAGGAUUUGACUCUUGCAGAUGGAACAUUGUGUGUCUGAAACUUUGUCUUUUAGGUUCAUCUUUCAAUGCACGUUCAGUAAUAAUAGUUAACUACUCUAGUAAUUUGUUAUUUUACUAAGCCCAUGCUGAUUUCUUAUAGAGAAGCUAUCUAGGAAAUGAAAAUUUUCCCUACUGACAUGACCAGUAAUGCAUAGUUGAAAAGAAGGACUGAAAUGAACUGUGGAAUUUAAUAAAAGCAUGAGGUUACACAGUAUUAUACGGAAAAAAAAUAUAUGCUAUGUUUGACUAUACUGCAGCAACUAAGGCUGAAAUAUUCUUCAGUGAAGUAAAAGAGGCUGACAUAAGGGGAUUUCAAAGACCAAAUUCAGUAAAAUCCAUUAAAACCCUCUCAAAACUGAUGGAAAACUGCAAGGAAUGUUUCUGUGAUAAUGGUGACCUUUAACUUCACUGCUUUCAAGAAAUGUCCUUAUCCCAUUAGUGACUUUGCUGGUGUAAAGCAAGAUUUAGACACAUUCACUUGUGUGGGAAAAUCUGACAUAUACAGAGCAUAAUAGCUUUUACCCAGGCAAAUAUGUUGCGUUCAAAAGGGGAAAUUAGGAAUGUUUGCACAGUUAAGAAACUGCUAGACAUGUAUGAAGACUGAGCUGAUAGGUCACAGUGUUUAAUUCUUUCUACACUAGAAUUACUCUGGAAAUAGUUUCUCAAUUCACUUUCAAGUCAUCAGACACACACACAUGCAACAUCUGUAUUUAAUUUUUCAUUUAUGCUUAUCCAAUAAGCAAUAGCAAGUAGAGUCAUCAUUAAAUUAGAAAUAGUCUUAUUCAUUCUCAUUUAUUCUUCCUAAACCACACAUUCUGGUAGAACAGCAUAAUAUCUUCAUAAUCUAAAAAACAAUUCAUCCUUUCAGGAAAAUGGACUAACACUCUGUUGGAAUUUAUGUAUCUGGCCAUUACCUACUUUCACCUUUACUUUGCCUUUCUCUGAAUUUUCAACACUACUAGUUAAAAUAGUGCUUAAACUUACAUGAGAUUUUUUUCAGUGGUGUGCUGACUCACUGUGUUUACUAUUGUACCAAAUUCAGAAAGAUGCUGACUUAUAUUGGUUCUGAAAAUUUUUUCAUUUUGUUGCCUCCUUAAAUGGCAAUCUAUACCUAAGUAAUUAAAAAAGUUAUUAAAAUUAGGAUUCUAGGAAUAAUAAAAAUUUAGUGUAUUGGGAAAUCCAUGUGCUUACUUGUUAGCAGUGAAAGGAAAAAAAGAAAUUAUUUAAAAAAUUCCAACAGUUACAUGCCAGUUAAUACAACAAAGUAAUAUUUAUACCUGAAUUUGUUUGCAUUUUUCAUCUGUUAAAACUCUGAUGUUUUAAUCUAACAAUGUAGUUAAAUUAACUGUUUAACAUAACAAAUAAAAGUGUUUUGGUUUUCAUUGCAAGUUUUAUAUUUUAUUGCUAUUAUUUGUAUAUGAACACACCCUGAAUAUCUUUUUCAUCUGUACCUGUUUCUAUU